GACGAACGCUGGCGGCGUGCCUAACACAUGCAAGUCGAACGAGCGAGAGAGAGCUUGCUUUCUCGAGCGAGUGGCGAACGGGUGAGUAACGCGUGAGGAACCUGCCUCAAAGAGGGGGACAACAGUUGGAAACGACUGCUAAUACCGCAUAAGCCCACGACCCGGCAUCGGGUAGAGGGAAAAGGAGCAAUCUGCUUUGAGAUGGCCUCGCGUCCGAUUAGCUAGUUGGUGUGGUAACGGCCCGCCAAGUCGACGUUCGGUAGCCGUACUGGGAGGUUGAACGGCCACAUUGGGACUGAGGCACGGCCCAGACUCCUACGGGAGGGAGCAGUGGGGAAUAUUGCACAAUGGGGGAAGACCUGAUGCAGCGACGCCGCGUAGAGGAAGAAGGUCUUCGGAUUGUAAUCUCCUGUUGUUGAGGAAGAUAAUGACGGUACUCAACAAGGAAGUGACGGCUAACUACGUG
rnacentral:rRNA from 1 species